rnacentral:misc_RNA from 1 species
UGUAGGAGCUGGCUUGCCUGCGAUGGGCACACCUCGGUAAAUCAGUUGUACCGAGGUGAUGCAAUCGCAGGCAAGCCAGCUCCCACA